CUGUGGUGAAAACACGACGAAAGUCAUUUUUUUUUCUGUUCCGACUGUUGUUCGUCGGCAGUGCAACCAGACCCUCGAUGUCUCAACGAAACGUCGGGCGGAAUGGUUUCGUCGCCUCAACCGUGGUGACAUUAAUACCAACGCUACUCACUACAAGGUCUGCAGCGAGCACUUCGUUUCUGGAAGGCCAUCCUACCUGAUGGAUGUUACAAACCCAGACUGGGCACCCAGCUUACACUUGGGGUAUGACAGAAACUCAACUGCUAAAUCUGAAGCAAGGCACCAGCGACGUUGCAAGAGGGCUGCAACCUCAAAGGAGAUCCAAGAGGGCAAUAGCAGAGUUCUCCAGCCUUCAAAUGUGUUGAACGUGCAGCACAGCGCUGUGUGCAGAACUGUCACGGGUACAAUGGCUUAUUCAUACAUGGGGA
rnacentral:lncRNA from 1 species